GUGUUCCAGGCCAGAUUAGAUGAGGCUUUGAACAACCUGAUUUAGUGUAAUGUGUCCCUGCCUACGGCAGAGGAAGGUUAGAACUGGAU